rnacentral:rRNA from 1 species
UACGGAGGGUGCAAGCGUUGUCCGGAUUUAUUGGGUUUAAAGGGUGCGUAGGCGGCUUCUUAAGUCAGUGGUGAAAGCCAACAGCUCAACUGUUGAACUGCCAUUGAUACUGGGAAGCUUGAGUACAGACGAGGUAGGCGGAAUUGACAGUGUAGCGGUGAAAUGCAUAGAUAUUGUCAAGAACUCCGAUUGCGAAGGCAGCUUACUAGACUGUAACUGACGCUGAGGCACGAAAGCGUGGGGAUCAAACAGG